GAUGAGCGCUGGCGGCGUGCCUAAUACAUGCAAGUCGUACGGAAGGCCCUUCGGGGUACUCGAGUGGCGGACGGCUGAGUAACGCGUGGGAACGUGCCCCAAAGUGAGGGAUAACGCACCGAAAGGUGUGCUAAUACCGCAUAUGGUCUUCGGAUUAAAGCUUCGGCGCUUUGGGAGCGGCCCACGUACGAUUAGAUAGUUGGUGAGGUAAUGGCUCACCAAGUCGACGAUCGUUAGCUGGUCUGAGAGGAUGAUCAGCCAGACUGGGACUGAGACACGGCCCAGACUCCUACGGGAGGCAGCAGUAAGGAAUCUUCCACAAUGGGGGCAACCCUGAUGGAGCAACGCCGCGUGCAGGAUGAAGGUUUUCGGAUCGUAAACUGCUUUUAUAAGUGAAGAAUAUGACGGUAACUUAUGAAUAAGGAUCGGCUAACUACGUGCCAGCAGCCGCAGUAA
rnacentral:rRNA from 1 species